rnacentral:rRNA from 1 species
CUGAAUCAGCAUGUGUGUUAGUGGAAGCGUCUGGAAAGGCGCGCGAUACAGGGUGACAGCCCCGUACACAAAAGCGCAUGUGUUGUGAGCUCGAUGAGUAGGGCGGGACACGUGGUAUCCUGUCUGAAUAUGGGGGGACCAUCCUCCAAGGCUAAAUACUCCUGACUGACCGAUAGUGAACCAGUACCGUGAGGGAAAGGCGAAAAGAACCCCGGCGAGGGGAGUGAAAAAGAACCUGAAACCGUGUACGUACAAGCAGUGGGAGCCUCUUUUAUGGGGUGACUGCGUACCUUUUGUAUAAUGGGUCAGCGACUUAUAUUCUGUAGCAAGGUUAACCGAAUAGGGGAGCCGGAGGGAAACCGAGUCUUAAUUGGGCGUUAAGUUGCAGGGUAUAGACCCGAAACCCGGUGAUCUAGCCAUGGGCAGGUUGAAGGUUGGGUAACACUAACUGGAGGACCGAACCGACUAAUGUUGAAAAAUUAGCGGAUGACCUGUGGCUGGGGGUGAAAGGCCAAUCAAACCGGGAGAUAGCUGGUUCUCCCCGAAAGCUAUUUAGGUAGCGCCUCGUGAACUCAUCUUCGGGGGUAGAGCACUGUUUCGGCUAGGGGGUCAUCCCGACUUACCAACCCGAUGCAAACUGCGAAUACCGGAGAAUGUUAUCACGGGAGACACACGGCGGGUGCUAACGUCCGUCGUGAAGAGGGAAACAACCCAGACCGCCAGCUAAGGUCCCAAAGUCAUGGUUAAGUGGGAAACGAUGUGGGAAGGCACAGACAGCCAGGAUGUUGGCUUAGAAGCAGCCAUCAUUUAAAGAAAGCGUAAUAGCUCACUGGUCGAGUCGGCCUGCGCGGAAGAUGUAACGGGGCUAAACU